UACGUAGGCAGCGAGCGUUGUUCGGAAUUACUGGGCGUAAAGAGUGUGUAGGCGGUGCUCCCAGUCUGUUGUGAAAUCUCCCGGCUUAACUGGGAGGGUGCAGCGGAAACUAGAGUGCUAGAGGGUGGGAGAGGUAAGCGGAAUUCCUGGUGUAGCGGUGAAAUGCGUAGAUAUCAGGAGGAACACCUGUGGUGUAGACAGCUUACUGGACCACUUCUGACGCUGAGACGCGAAAGCGUGGGUAGCAAACAGG
rnacentral:rRNA from 1 species